rnacentral:rRNA from 1 species
UACAGAGGUCUCAAGCGUUGUUCGGAUUCAUUGGGCGUAAAGGGUGCGUAGGCGGCGCGGUAAGUCGGGUGUGAAAUCUCGGGGCUUAACUCCGAAACUGCAUUCGAUACUGCCGUGCUUGAGGACUGGAGAGGAGACUGGAAUUUACGGUGUAGCGGCGAAAUGCGUAGAUAUCGUAAGGAAGACCAGUGGCGAAGGCGGGUCUCUGGACAGUUCCUGACGCUGAGGAACGAAAGCCAGGGGAGCAAACGGG